rnacentral:lncRNA from 1 species
ACCACAUAGAAAAUAAAGUUGCAACCAACCAUCACAAAUAUGUAGUCUAAUAACUAAUAAAACACCACAUAACAAGCCAAAAUAAUGUCUAGACUCUCUGCACUAGUCUUUAAACAUCGUUCAAGCAAACUCAUCAAGGAAAAGGUCAUCUCCAUCUCCACGAGAACUACUCUCAUUCAAAGGCGUGGAUGGUCUUUGUCCAAAAUCAUCCUCCACAUCUUCAUCAUCAUUUAGAAUUCUUUCUUCUUCAACUUCAUCAUCGGAGAAGGAAUCCAUCAACCUUGAUUCCCUUGAAGUUGAACCACCACCACGUCGAGAGUACAUCAUGAGAUUAUGACUAGUAUUAGCACGAGCCCUCCUUGAAAGAUUGCGACCCUCAAACGUGUUGGAUACACCAGUUGCUAGAUCCACAUCAUUUCAUAUAAGAUCCUCCCAGGGAUGAACAACAUCAACCUUAUUAUUGAUGUGACACCCCCAAAUCCGGGUACCUUCAAACCUUGGAUAUGGUGCUACACGGUAUUACAACAUACACAUAUAUCUGACAAUAUAAGCUUAAUGACAGGAUUGUAAUUCUAUAUUAUUACAUCAUAUCCGUUCAAUCUCAGAUUCUGAAACCAUUACCUAUUCAUAAUGUCAUAAUAUUACAUAUUACAUAGUAAUAUUAAGCUCUUACACAAUCUUCUAUUCCUUCCUCUUUAUCCUUUCUCUAUCCUUCCUGGAUUCUUCAGUAUGUUCACCUUAACUGAAAUCAUAUAGUUUAACAGGGUAUGGGCAUUUAAUUGUCCAGCAAAUAUUACAAUUCAAUAACAAAAAAUUCAAGAAUCAUAUGAUUUCACUUCAAUAAUUGAACAAAUAGUUAUGAAGAACUAUAAAUAAUCAAAGAGCAUUUUUGUUUCCUUCUUUCCUUUAAGACAUUUCCAGAUGAUAUAUCAGUCAUUAAAAUUAUGAGUUGGUCAAAAGAUCAUGAACUUUAUUUUUCUUUACUUGAAAAGGACAACCCCGAUACGAAGACCGUAAGUCUAAUAUAUCUUAUCAACACUUCUAGAUAAUCAGCCUAUAGUACUCUAUGUUGUACAACACCCAUCCGUUUAAAUGACACUUGCGUUUAAAUUUUGGUCACCUUUCAUGAUAGUCGAAAAUUUGACUAAGAAAUCUUUCGUGUAUUCUUCCUCAGACUUGACCUUUAAAUCCUUACCAAAGCAAUUGGUUUAGGAUAACAUCAAUAAUAUUUUGAAAGACUUCGAAAUAAAUCAACAAAAUAUUUUAACAUUUGUCUCGCUGAAUCAAAUGGCAUCGACAAUUUUUUAAACAUGUCAUAGCAUGGCUUAAACACUUGUACAAAUACUAAAAGAUUUGUAUAAGUAAGGAAUACACAUUCAUGCAAGAAAUAUGUAUAUUUAAUCUUAACAUCAUCAUAUAAACUUCAAUUGAUCAAAAUCAACAAAGUUACAAAACUUGUCUAACAUAAAGUAUAGACAAGAGUUUAAAAAGUUUGCACAACACUAAGGUUAUACUUCAUAUAGAAAAACUUGCAUAACAAAGUUUAUACAAGAGUUAGAAACUUGCCACAAGCAAAACUUGAACAAGAUUAGAGAACUUGCCUUUAGCGUUCUUUAUCAUCUCGACGAUAUUCAUCCUUCAAAUGUCCUAAACAUUUACAUUAUCCAUAACACACUCAUUAGGCACAUAACGACACCAAGUUUGGUUUACAUUAACUUUACUUAUUUCUUUUCAUGUUUGUGUCAUUAGACUCAGAGAACUUCUCAAGUUUAUUAUUACUUGUUAUAGCAUUUCGGUGUUCGAUUACCGUACGCCUAUCAUAGUCUUUGUGAACACCCAAGCCAUAUGCUUAUGCUUAGCAUAUGCUUGUUAUACCUUUGCAUAUGCUAAGCACGAUCCCACAACCUUUCAUAACACUCUUCGAUUUAAUUUAAGUGUUUUACAUCAACUCCUCUUUAUAAUGUACUUUACCCAAUUCAUUUAAUUCGUUACCUUCAUUACUGUUCGUUACGGCUUUCCGACAUUUAAACAUCACACAUCUUUAUCAUUUAUUAAUGUCUAAGACAUUCAAUCUUAUGUAUGCUAAGAACAUUAAUGUCUAAGACAUUCAAUCUUAUGUAUGCUAAACAUUUACAUUGUUUAAAUAUUUUUUACGUUUACAAUUCUUAAUCUUUUAAUCAACUUUAAACCAUUAUCUUAAUGUUUGAAUCACUUAUUAAAGUGUUACAUUAAGUGAACUUCAUGUUCAUUAUCAUUCCACAUACUUUCCCCAAGCUUUGAGCAGUUAAAAGCUCUUCACUGGGCCCUGCACCGACACUACGGCGCCAGGAUCUAGUACAAAUCCGGCAUUGCGGCGCCCAAUUAUAGUACCUAGCUCCCGAGCCAGCGAUGCGGCGCCCAGUUUCUAGCUUUGGUCGGCGCUGCUGCGCCAGGCCUAUUCCUUUGAAAAUUUUCUAGUCUUUUAACAUGUUCAAACUGCUAACUUUGCUAACUCGUAACUUCAUCAUUCCAAUUCGGAAUGAAUCCGUUCCCGAGCCAAAUUCUUACUUCCAUUACAUACUACAAUUUCCCCUUGACGGAAUAAUUUUCUAAAUCCGUUAACUAGCCUUUUCGUCGGCUCAAAAUUCCUUCGUCGUUCAUUUUAUGUUCUUAACGUUUAUCGUUCGUUCGUCCAUAACUUACUCAUCUGAUACUCGAAUAAAUUCGUUCUUAAGCCCACGACUCACAUUUUUCAUGUUCUUGAACAUUCUUAUGAAACCCUAAUUAUUCGGAAUCAUUAACUAAUAUCACAUAUUCGUCUGGAAAUCAUAACAAACUACGAUUUCCACGAUUAACAUAUUUUACUAAAAUUUCCGCCAUAAACUUCGUUAUAGCAAAUUUUUACUCGGUUCCAAAGGGAACAUUUCCACAACUUAUCCAUGUCUAAUAUCUCCUAACCAAAUAUAACAACCAACAUAUAUAAGAUGGUUUUAAACUUGUCCAUCAACAACAAGCUCUAAGUUUUUCAUGCAUUCUUCGUUUAAUUCGUUAUUAACGAUUACGAUUUCACUUAUCAUGCAUUUAUUAGUGUUUUAAGUCCACUAAUUCUUCGUUAUUCCAUCGGAACAUAUUAUGAUUCCAUCGAAUCAUUCACAACCACCAACAAAGCACUUCCUAACAAAUCUACGACUUGAAAAAGAUGAAGAUUUAGGGUUCUUAGUUAUUACCUCUGUGUUCUUGAUGAUUGAUGAACUUAGCUAGCUUUUCCUUCUCCUUGAAUCCGAAAUUCUCCCUUCUCUCUCAAUAUAUGAGCUUUCUCUUUGAAUGUGUUAGAUGAAUUAAGAUGACACAUUGAAGAGAAAAAUAUAUUAGCUUUUAUAGAAAAGCAAGACUUAAAGCUUUAUGGUCUUUUAAGACAACUUUGCUAAAGCUUAUGAAUUGAUCACUUUUAUUAGUGUCUUGAAUGGUCAACACCCUUAGGUUUGCAUAAUUUACUAACCAUCCCCUCCUUAACCAUCAUCAAUUAACCAUGGUUUGAUUAAAAUGAUGAUGCUUGACUUUUUGGUCCAAAAUCAUUUAAUUCCACCUCCUUGCUAGCAAGAUCUUUUGCCAAGCUUCCCUUGGAAGCCUUGGUCGGCUAUGUGGUGUCCAUGGGGCCCCACAUGGGUUGCCCCAACCAACUUAACCCACCCAUGACCCAUGGUUGACCAUCUUUGUUGGAUCUUGGUUUGGGCUUGGUUCGAUAUUCAAUUUGAGUUAUUCUUUGGGCUUGGAUUAGCAUUCAUUUGGGUCUUGAACUAAAUUGUCAUUAGAUCUCCUAACAUUUCCUAUUGGGCUUCUCAAAGUCAAAGCCCAAUAGCCUAAUAGUUCAUGUUCACUUUUGUUGACUUUAACUUUCCGUAUUCCUACCGUACAAUUUUCAUAUUAUACACGUAUUAUAGUUCUUAUAAUUUUUGUAUUAUACGCCAUAUUAAUCUUCGUAUUAUACUCGUAUAAUAAACCGUAUUAUACUUGAAUAACUUUCAAAAUUCAAUAGUCUGAAAACUGCGUUUUUUGGUUCUCAAACUUUAUUUGACAUUCCGUCUUUCCUCAUCAUUUUAACGUUUAUGCGUUCUUCGAAAAAUCAAAAAAACGCAAAAGCGUUUUCGGGUGAAUAAUGUUCUUACGUCUUUUUCUCGAAAAAAAAUUAUUUUCUCCUACGAUCUCGGAUUCGUAAACCCCAACAUUCAAACACAUCCUAGGUCAUAGAAUCGACCUUUAAAUACUUAACACAGAAUAAAAUUCAUAUAUUAUUAUUUUAUUCAAUAAUACUCCACAAAGCUUAUAUCAGCUAAGUAAAAUUUCUCGGUCGCUACAAUUGAUCCAUUCAUUACCCCAUUCAAAGUCAUCAAUAGCUAAUAGAUAAAAAAAAAAAUCAAAGUUCACGCCUUUUUUGGAACCUUGAGACGAUCUUUCGAUUGUAUUGAACAUACACCAAGUCACUCAAUCGUUUGUAUUCCAAUCUAUUCCUCUUCUUUAUAUGAAUCUAAAUAAAUAGAACAAAAAUAAUAAUAUUAAUGAUAAAUUUUUAAUUAUAAAAAAAAUAGUUAGUAUUAGUAGUAAAUGACUUAUUACUUUUGAAAUUUGAAUCAACAAUAAAAAGUAUUUACAAACUCAAAUGUACUCCAAUUGCGCUCACAACCGAAAGAAGAACAACAGAGGCCUAGAAUUCUUUUUGCAAACAAGGAUAGCUCAAUAGCCCACCCUCCAAAAGCAUUCCACCAAUCAACUAGCAAACAUUUAAAAAAAAUAUAAAUAUUUUUGAAGGGAGGAAAGGAAGAAUGUAUAUAAAUUAUAAUUAUAAUUUAGCUUUUAUAUCUUUAUAUAUAUACAUUAAUAUACUUACGAGGAUUCUUUAUUUUCCGUUGCCUAAUCGCCAUUUCUUUUGCAAAAGUAUCUUGAGAAGCAUCAUAGUUAUCGGCUAGAUUACUUAUCUUGUCUAGCAAAUCUAGCUUGGGCACCAUCUUUGCAACAGUUGCAUUGAAGUCUUCUUGUAAAGUUCCAGCAAACACCAGACGUUCCUCUUUGAUAUCAAAGUACUUGCCCGGAUUGAGAAACAAUGCAUCCCUAUAUAAUUUUUGCUCCAUUUGACUUUCCCAUCGACGCUCAACAAUGACAAUCACCUUUUUAUACAGUCUGUUUGUUAUCAAAUGCAUCUUUGUUUUUUUUUCUUCACACAUUCCAUCGCAACGAAAACUUCUGGCAUAGCAGGCUUCUCAUCACCAUCAACAAUCCUCAAAACUAUAAAAAUUGGUUGUGACACCCUAAUGCAAUCCUCAACAUGAUGCCAAAAUGUUGUUGAAAUAACAGUAUCACAUACUUUCUUUCCCGCUUUAGUAGCCGACAACUUAAAUUUUGUUCAAUCCUCGCUUACGAACAAAUGCAUUUUUAUUCUUGUACAAACUUUGCAAGGUGAGGAAAGGUGUAGCAAAUCUAGUAACUACGGGUCUCACAAGAUCCCUCCCAUUUCUUUUGUCCCUUAUCGCAUUAAGAAGACGACCAUGCCUAUAAAUGAAUGUUGUGAUUCUUUUUGCAUUUGUGAUUGUGGGCUGGAAUUGCUUCAACAUGCCUAUGUCCUCUAGCAUAAGGUCAAGCCAGUGAGCGACACAAGGUGUUCAAAACAGUAUAAGCCUUGUCUCCAUUAGUAUAUGCCUCGCUGCCUUGUAAUUAGAGGCAUUGUACGUGACUACUUGAACAACAUACUCGGGGCCAAUUUCCUCAUUCUUUCUAUCAAGUAGAUUUGCCAACAUUGUGGCAUCUUGCGACUGACUGGAGGCAUCAACAGAACCCAUGAAAUAAGUCCCCUCCGGACUAUUAACAAGGAAAUUCAAUAAGUGUCUUCCCCUCUUAUUUGUCCAACCAUCUAACAUCAACCAUAUUCCUUCCAAACAACUUCAUGUUUCUUCUUUAACUCGUCGGUUUUCGUCUUUGCCUUCUCAAGUAAAGGAACUCUCAAAUCAUGAUACGUUGAAGACUUUAAACCCGACCCAUAUUGCCCUAUGGACUCGAUCAUUACUUCAAAGCUCCUUGCAUUUGCAACAUUGAAUGGUAUGCCACACUCGUAGAAAAAAUUGGCAAUGUACACAAGACUCUCUCCUUUUCCUCGUGUCCUCAAACAAUUUUAUAUACUCGUUUGGCUUAAACGCUUGAUAUGCCUCUCCUCUACAACUUCUUCGGAGUCUUCCUUAAAAGUGCUUCAACCAUCUUUGUUGGGGCUUUUGGAAUUGAAAUACAACUUUCUUUCUUUUAGAAGUCGUCCCAAAACUUGGGAUAGUGUUAGAAGUAUUGGAAACCAUGGUUGGACGAGCAGAUGAUUGUUCUUCUAGCACUUCUACAUCAUCAUCAUCAUUUAGCUCAACUGGUUUGUUCCUCUUUCUACUAUUCAAAACCGCUUGCAUCUCCAUCAUAAUUUCUAUUGUUUUAGGGCACUUCGCUACAUCCCAAAAUUUUCGACUAGAUGUCGCUCGAGACUUUUGAUGCCCGAAUGACAUUUCUUUUCGCGAAGUAUACAUUGCACAACAUCCUUAUUACUUAAAUCUAGCCAAUAUCCAUAUUUCCAACCCGGAUCGUUCGAUUUAGCUUUUCUUUUAGUCUUUCGUUAUAUCAUAAUUAUCGGACCCCGAACUUUCCGCCAUUUUACUUUCUACACAAUACAAUCAAAUAAAAAAUAUAAGACAAAUUGUAUCAUUGAUGAAUGUAACAUCAGUUGUGGUAUCACUAUCUAACAUCAAUGGAUAAAAUGUAAAGAGUACAUGUAUAAAAUAUAAAUAACAUAUAUAAAUGUAUAUAUAUAUAUAUAUAUAUAUAUAUAUUGUAUAAACUUAUUUUUUAUCCUUUCUGAUUGUUAUAUAUAUACUCCUUUAUGCCGAGUCUGCUGGUUAUAUAUUAAUUUUUAUAUAUAUAUAUAUAUAUAUAUAUAUAUAUAUAUAUACAUAACAAGCAAUCUGAUAAGGGACAAAAAAAAGCUAAACAAUAAACAAACAUAACUCGCACAAAUAUAUAGCACUUGACACUAGCACUACGCAAUGAAAAAAAAAUGCAGCAGCAGGGCAGAAAAGGGAAGGAAAAAAAAGAAGAAAUCAAAAAAUACUUGUUGAAGUGCCAAUCGGAGUUUUGCAGCCUCGCCGGAAGGGUUUUCGAAGUCGACAGUCGAUGAGGUACUCUCUCUCUCUCUCUCUCGUUUACUACUCACAGUCGCUCGUUGACUCUUUCUUCUCACAGUCGCUCGUCGACUCCUUCUCUUCUACUGCAAAACAAAGUUCGAUCUUCUCUGCGAAGAAGCAAAUCAGUUCGAUAGGGCUAGUUGCCCAGUUCCAAGCGACGUCGUUUUUCCUUCUUUUUUUAACCUAGUGGGUUGAUCCAUACGCGCAGUAGACAAGUCGGUCGAUCUGUCGUCAAGUCGUUGAAGUCGACGUCGGGUCGUCCAAGGCGACGACUUCUUUUGCAAGGCGCUCGACUUUCGACCCAAACCCAAGUCGCCCGAUCGCCUUGCCUUCCCCAUACCGACUGGACACCUUGACAUCGCCUAAACGACGCCUUAACAACUAUGUAAGACAUGACUGUGUGGAUGAGCGCUCGAUAGUAAUAAAGUAAUAUAGUCAUUGUCUUUGUUAAAACCAAAGUAAUUUGGUGGAUUCCGGUAGGGGUGAAAACGAGUCGAAUCUCAGCGAACACUCUAGUGCUCAGAUUCCGCUCGACUCGAAAAAAUUGAGCUCGAAUUCGAUAAAGAAUUUCUAAUUUUGCGCCAGAUUUGACUCGGAUCAUUACUCGGACCUACUCGGCUCGUAAGUACUCGAUUCGUUUACAAAAGUUACUCACGAGCCUUCAAAUCGAUUUUCGAAUAUGAACCAUUUCGCUUAAUACUGAACCACUACAUACUAAAUUGAUUAUUGAACUAAUGUUUAUAUAUAAGUCUUACUUUUAUUUAUGUAAAGAAAUUACAAAAAAUGUAAUACGAAUUGACAAUCAAUUCACUGAUUUAUUCAAGUACAAGCUUACACAAUUUAAUACUACACUUUAUAAAUUAUAAAGAUUGAUACAAAUAUCACAUAUUUAGCUUAUUAGUAUGGAUCAUCGAGCAGGUAUCGAGUAUGGUUCGAGAAAAAAUGAAAUACUCGAACCCUAAUCUGAGCGAAUACUGGUAUACUCGAAUUCGACUCGUGUAUCAUUAAACAGAAAACGAGAAUGGAUCAUAUUCAACUCGAAUCAACUUCGAAUUCGAGCUUUGGAUCAUAUUUUCGAACCAAUCUCGAGUCGAGUAUCAAGCUACUCUGCUCGGCUAACACCCCUGGAUUCCAGUUACAAAAGUCAUAGGCAGGGAUUGUUAUGGAAUAAUUCCAAGAAACGUUAUCAAGUUAUCGCCUAGUCGUCGACUAGGAGUCUGAGCGGUAGCAAACAGUAAGUCGAAGGGACGACUUGAGCGAAUAAGCUAAGUUGCACGACUUGGUGAAGAAAUCGUCGCCUUGGGUCGCCUUGGCCGACUACCUUCCAAGGUACACGAUCUAGAAAAAAGAAGAAAAAAAGGAAACGAAAGAGCAGAAAAAAAUAGAUCGAAAAAAACGAAAGAAAAGAAAAGAAGAGAUCAUCACUGUCAAAAACUUCCAUCCCCAUUGCCGGAGUCAUCUUCGUAGUAGUCAACCAACAUUGUCGACUUCACUUUAUGUCAUUAUUUGUCGUCGCAGUUCGUGUCAAUUGUUGAAUAUGCCUCUCGAUUUCAUCUUACCGCUGCUUCUUGUGUAAGAAAAGAAAAAAGAGACUGAGAUUUAAAAAUAUCUCGUCUUAGAUGAAAUAUAGUUUAGUACCUCAUAUUUUUCUUAAACUUUAGAUCUAGUCCCUUAAGUUGCAGAUUUUUCACUUGAGCCCUUAUUUUUCUUUCAAAAUCACCCCUUAGUUUUUUGAGUUUACAUUUUAAUCCCUAGACCCCCAUAUUUUCAGUAUUCCCUAUUCAUUAGUUUAGUUUUUUAGUUAGUGUAAAUGAGAUAUAAAUGUGAAAUAUUAAUAUGUUUUUUGUUUUUAAUGAUAUUUAAGAGUAUUGCUUGUGAAGUAGUAAUAUACGUAUAAAGUUUGCAUUUUUAACGACUUGUUAUAUUGUUAUCUGUCGUUGCAGUUUGUGUCGAUUGUUGAAUAUGCCUCUCGAUUUCAUUUUACCGCUGCUUCUUUUGUGUAAGAAAAGAAAAAUGAGACCGAUUUCAUCUUACCACGGCUUCUUUUGUGUAAGAAAAGAAAAAGGAGACUGAGAUUUAAAAAUAUCUUAGAUGAAAUACAAUUUAGUACCUCAUAUUUUUCUUAAACUUUAGAUCUAGUCCCUUAAGUUGCAGACUUUUCUUUUAAGCCUUUAUUUUUCUUUCAUAAUCACCCCUAUGUUUUUUGAGUUUACAUUUUAACCCCUAGACCCCCAUAUUUUCAGUAUUCCCCAUCAUUAGUUUAGUUUUCAGUUAGUAUAAAUGAGAUAUAAAUGUGAAAUAUUAAUAUGCUUUUGUUUUUAAUGGUAUUAAGAGUAUAGCUUGUGAUGUAGUAAUAUACGUAUAAAAUUUGCAUUUUUAACGACUUGUCGACUUGCGGGUGACUAGUCAGAUGUCUUGUCGCCUAAGCGCUUAAGCUCUCUCGGCUAUCGCCUCGACUUGUCGCCUUGAUAACUAUGAUUUCAUAGAGAUAGGUUUAAAGUCUUUGAAUGAAAGUUGACCUAUAAGUGGAACCCAACUAAAUACUAGAAUAACAUCUAGUAUAUUACCUCAAUGGAAAAAUAUUUAUAGUAAUAACCAGUUAUACACUAGACAAGUAUGAAGAAUAAAUUUUUCUAAACCAUCUCAAAGUUAGUGUAUGUUUGUAUAGAAAACAAAGAGAGUAGGGUAAACCUUUAAUGAAUCAAUGUCCGGUUUGGAAGAUACAGGUCAUACAAGUGCAUCUAAUUAGAUUCACCUAUGUAAGUGAAGGAAGUGGGACCGCUUCUGCAAGACUUAAGGCUUGUCUCUAGGUCACUUGUGAAACCCAAGAGGUCAACAAGAGGUAAACCUUUGUUGGGUUUCCUUAAAUUAUAAGGAUAUAGUAUGUCUAUUGAGCAGGAUAUCACUUUAAGAUUUCCUAGUUCAAACUAACGUUACUAGGAAUUCUGAUAUUUUGUUAUAUAGACUACGAAAAGGUACAUGUCGAAAGACACCUCUUACUUAUGUAUGUUAUGCCUAAAAAGAGAUAAGGUUGACAAAAUCUAUUAUUAUAUAAUGAAUAUAUUAUAUAUGGUAUUAAUAAUCAAUAAAUGUAUUUGUUCAAUGAUAAUGGUGUGAUUGAUAGUUUGAACGAGUGUAACAUUGAGCCGGUGCAAUGUUUCAACUUGGGUUACUAAUUUGAACCAGUGCGAUUGUUAAUUUGAACAGUGUAACAUUGAACUGGUGCAAUGGUUGGACUUGGGACACUAGUUUGAACCGGUAUGACACUUAGAAAAGGUGUGUUUGGUUCAUGUCUUUUCAAAUGAGUGUUUAGAAUCCUAUAAAUAUAAAUAGGAUUAUAAAACUCUCAUUUGGAGAUGGAAUUUUUUCACAACAAAUGAAUGUUCCAUAAUUCUUUUUAAGGAAUUUUGGGUUUAUUAAUUUUUCUCUCUCUCAAAUUAUAGUUUUGAAUUAAAUACUAUCAUGCACGUACUAUUAAUACAUAUUAAUUUUUGGGUAUGUGGGGGACGGAUAUUACUUUUCAGAAUUUUUUUUAUUUUUUGCUAAAUUGACUUUUCAGAAUUUUUGCAACAUCCUAUUGUGAAAGUUCCAACAUUAUUCUCUUCUUUAACCAAACAAGUGACAUACAAAUAAGAUCAGGAAAAAAAACUUUCAAGAUUUCAUUGUCCUCCUUCACUUCUUAACUCUCAAACAAGGGAUGAGAGAUUCAACUGAUAUUUUUUUUCUUCUCAACUCCCAAUCAAUAGAAGAAAAUCCACUCUCUCACACCCAAACUCUCAAAUUCUUUCUUACUUGACAACUCUAAUUCCAUCUAAAACUCCUAGCAUAGUAUUAAUAGGGAAAGAUCCAGCUUAGAAUAAUGCAAAAUUCCAUCUAAAACUCCAAACCUAGUGCUAAUAGGGGACCAUGCAGUAUAAGAUCAUUCAUCAAACCAGACAAAUAAAUACAUUAAUAAGCAAUAUAAGUAAACUGCAGCUAAUUUUCGGUUAACAAUAAUGCGCAUAUAUAACAAGUAAAGGUGUGAACAAGCCGAUCAAAAACUCAUGAAACAAAGGUUUAGUCACAAAUUGAAGAAUUAAGGCAAUUUACCUGUGUAUUUGGAAUUUAAGAGAAUCAAUUCCUCAAUAACUUAUUAUCGAACCGCGGUAGGCAGAGAAGAGAUUUAAGCCUGUGUCUUUCCUUUUGUCAAAUCCUCCGACAAACAUGAGAAAGGGACAGGAAAAUGUCCAUCGUCCGCCCCAUGGAUCCUUUUGGUGGACCCGCCUCAAAGGUAGUACUAAUAUUUAUGGGGCCUGGUCUGCCUAGGGCUAUGGCUCAUAUCCAUUGUUAGUCCUGGAAAGCGUGCCUUGACUUGUAGUGAGGAUCUAACGAAUAAUAUGAAAAAAAAAACAAGAUUUGCUUCUCACAAACACCAUCAACGAACGGGUCUGUUC